UACGAAGGGGCUAGCGUUGUUCGGAAUCACUGGGCGUAAAGCGCUUGUAGGCGGAUCGUUAAGUCAGGGGUGAAAUCCCGAGGCUCAACCUCGGAACUGCCUUUGAUACUGGCGAUCUUUGAGUCCGGGAGAGGUGAGUGGAACUCCGAGUGUAGAGGUGAAAAUUCGUAGAUAUUCGGAAGAACACCGGUGGCGAAGGCGGCAUCCUGGACCGGUAUUGACGCUGAGGCGCGAAAGCCAGGGGAGCAAACGGG
rnacentral:rRNA from 1 species